rnacentral:tRNA from 1 species
CCUCCUUUCUAAGGAGAUACAAUAUUUAAAGUUAUUAUUUUUUAGUAUCUUUAAAUCAGUGUACAACAGUCGUCGCCUACUAAUCCCUUCUUAUUUUUUUAUUGUUAAGUAAUAACUAAUUGUUCUCAUGCUUUUCCUUAAUAUAUAUACACUUAAACCUACAUGUCGUGUAAGUUUGGGGGUGUAGCUCAGUUGGGAGAGCGCCUGCUUUGCAAGCAGGAGGUCAUCGGUUCGAUCCCGUUCACCUCCACCAAUUUAUUUAAAGCUACGGGCCGGUAGCUCAGUUGGUUAGAGCGCGCGCUUGAUAAGCGUGAGGUCGGAAGUUCAAGUCUUCCUCGGCCCACCAUAAUAAUUUAGUUUUUACUUAGAUUAGAAGUUUGUUAUUGAAAAUUGUAAAUAUGUAAUACCAACUAUAAAUUCUUUUUUAUAAGAAAAAUUCAAUUUCAUGAAUAGUGCGAAUUUUUUUUCUGCACGCUUAUAAAAUCAAGUGUCAAAAGAGCAUAUGAUGGAUGC